UAUCUGGUUGAUCCUGCCAGUAGUUAUAUGCUUGUCUCAAAGAUUAAGCCAUGCAUGUGUGUGUAUAAGCUUCUGCAUGGUGAACCUGCGAAUGGCUCAAUAACUCAGUUGCUGACAAUGUAGGCAUCGUUUUCUACAUGGAUAUCAGCGGUAAUUCUGGAGCUAAUACACGACCAGCAACCUGCCGCAACGAAUGGUUGUCGUUAUCAGUGAUAUACCGUCAUCGGACCUCUCCGAUAUUGAUUUAGCGAUGAUAAUCCAAUUGAUCGUUCUGCGUCUUGCAUACGACACACUACUUGUGCUUCUGACCUAUCAGUUUCUGACGGUAGGGCAUUUGCCUACAGUUGCAUUGACGGGUGACGGAGGAUUAGGGUUCAAUUCCGGAGAGGGAGCGCGAGAAACGGCUACCACAUCUAAGGAAUGCAGCAGGCGCGCAAAUUACCCAAUCCUAAUGCAGGGAGGUAGUGACAAUAAAUAACAAUACAGGGCAAUUCUGCUUGUAGUUGGAAUGAAACAGAUCUAACACAUCUGCCAAGGAUCGAUUGGAGGGCAAGUCUGGUGCCAGCAGCCGCGGUAACUCCAGCUCCAAUAGUGUAUGGUAAAGUUGCUGUGGGUAAACUGCUCGUAAUUGUGUUCUGUUCGGUCGGGCGGUCCGCCAUGGGGUGUGCAUCAAUCGUCUGUGCACAGGCGUUGACACUGCUGCCCAUUUUCUGUGCAGCUUGGCGUGUCCAAAUUGGUUAC
rnacentral:rRNA from 1 species